GAGGAUGAUGAUCUGAUAUUGUCGCCCCAGUCUUAGGAUCCGCUCUAAUUGCGGAUCUUUGCUGAUUGACACUUCUGAAUCUGACUC
rnacentral:snoRNA from 1 species